CCCUUAGACACUCUAGGCGGCACGCGCGCUACAAUGGGUGGAAGACCGUGUUACUGCCUUCGAAAGAAGGGGUGAAUCACGAAUUCUUACCCGUGAAUGGGAUAGUUUGUUGCAAUUUUCGGACUUGAACUAGGAAUCCCUUGUAAGCAUGCUCAAGAAUAGCGUGUUGAAUACGUCCCUGCCGUUUGUACACACCGCCCGUCGUUUCUUCCGACUGAUACUCAUUGUGAGUUGCAAGGACGCUUCAUUGCGAAAUUGCUGCGAAUGCUUUGUAUUGGAGGAAGAAAAAGUCGUAACA
rnacentral:rRNA from 1 species